UUCUGGCUCAGGACGAACGCUGGCGGCGUGCUUAACACAUGCAAGUCGAACGGGAGUAUUGAAGAAGCUUGCUUUAGAGAUACUUUAGUGGCGGACGGGUGAGUAACGCGUGAGGAGCUGUCCUAUGCAGGGGGACAACAGCUGGAAACGGCUGCUAAUACCCCAUAAGCCGAGAGGUAAAAGGAUCAAUCCGGCAGAGGAGGUACUCGCGUCCUAUCAGCUAGUAGGUGAGGUAACGGCUCACCUAGGCGAAGACGGGUAGCCGGCCUGAGAGGGCGAACGGCCACACUGGAACUGAGAUACGGUCCAGACUCCUACGGGAGGCAGCAGUGGGGAAUAUUGGGCAAUGGGGGGAAAAACCCCCUGACCCAGCGACGCCGCGUGGGUGAAGAAAUCCUUCGGGAUGUAAAGCCCUGUUGUAUGGGAAGAGCGGAAGACGGUACCAUACGAGGAAGCCCCGGCAAACUACGUGCCAGCAGCCGC
rnacentral:rRNA from 1 species